rnacentral:rRNA from 1 species
UACGAAGGGUGCAAGCGUUACUCGGAAUUACUGGGCGUAAAGCGUGCGCAGGCGGUCUAUUAAGACAGGUGUGAAAUCCCCGGGCUUAACCUGGGAACUGCGCUUGUUACUGAUAGGCUUGAGUGUGAGAGAGGUGUGUGGAACUCCGAGUGUAGAGGUGAAAAUUCGUAGAUAUUCGGAAGAACACCAGUGGCGAAGGCGACACACUGGCUCACUACUGAGCUGAGGCGCGAAAGCGUGGGGAGCAAACAGG